UCCAGCGCGGCGUGAACCGCAGGCUGCCUGCUUGGUCCUGCGCCGCACGGGCGCCGCCCUCGUCCUCCAGCUACACCGUCGCCUCCAUCCUGUUCCUGGGCGUGGACGUAGCCCCGGGCUCAUCGGCGGCACCGCAAGGAGCCUCGCAGGCGGCCACGAGAGCCUGCUCAGUCAGGAGUGGAGCCAGCGGACGGAGCAGCGGAACAACCAGCGCGGGGAGAAGAGGCGGGCCAUGGGGGCAGAGGCGACGAUUGCUGGAAGACGACGACACCGCCGGCAAAAUCCAUCGUGGGCGCCCAUCCAUGGACCGAUUGCUUCAGCCUCGACCUCCGCCUCCGCACCAGGGAACCUCCCCCACCCCUCAGGCGGAGCCCUAGUUGACUGCACAACGGCUCGCCGUCGACGCAAAUAAGCCACCGUCGCAGCCAUGGCCGGCCCUCAUGCUCUGAUUGAUUCAAGUUCUGGAGAUGAGAGUGCCAACAGUUGACUGUAUCAUCAGGCGUGGAGGGCAAACAAAUCCGAUCUGUGAGUUGUGUCAAGCAAGGGAUGAAUCGACAAUACACCUUAUGGCCAAGUGCUCGUAUGGAGAAAAAGUGUGGAACAUGGCGGUGGCAUGAAUCAACCAGUGAUCCCCCAACUUAAUGAUGUGCUUAGAAUGGUGGGCUGGAACAACUGCUGCAAACAACAUACAAUCACACUUGCAAGUCAUCAUAUACACAACGUAGAAUCUACGGAAGGAGCGUUGUCGGGGGCUCCUCGAAAACAGGACACAGAGGCCCUCAUAGUUCCAGAGGUCAUCAUGCCAGACCUACAGAACUUCAGUUUAGUUCACUUGGACCAGGAGUAAUCGGCUAUCGUUAUACAUAUGCAUAAUCUUCUUUUCUUUCACUUACUCAAAUUGUAAAUAUUUUGCUUCCUACUAUAAUGAAUGGGUAGAUCACCUGCUAUUUUCCUAAAAAAAACUUCUGAUAAAGAUGUUGCUACUGCCUAUUAUGUGAUUCUGAUAUCAUAUCUUUGUCCUGUUUA